rnacentral:rRNA from 1 species
UACGUAGGUGACAAGCGUUGUCCGGAUUUACUGGGCGUAAAGAGCGCGCAGGCGGUCGAUCAAGUCGAGUGUGAAAGCCCCCGGCUCAACUGGGGAGGGUCAUUCGAUACUGAUCGACUCGAAGGCAGGAGAGGGUAGUGGAAUUCUCGGUGUAGCGGUGAAAUGCGUAGAUAUCGAGAGGAACACCUGCGGCGAAGGCGGGUUGCUGGGCUGACACUGACGCUGAGGCGCGAAAGCCAGGGGAGCGAACGGG